AAAUAUGAAAUUAGGACAUAAAAAUUGUAAUAGGCCCAAUCUGUCCGGCCCGUUAGUGAAAUAAACCAAAUAAACAAAUGAAUAAAAUAAAACCAAAUUAAAAAUUAAAAGUCCAAAAAUUAACACAGUCCAGUCCUUUACAUCAACAAGCCCAAAUCCUAGUAGACCCAACUAGCCUAAAGUUUCAAGACCCACUAAGCCCAAACAUUACAAACCAAACACCAGCCCAAUACCCAGCCCAAAUCAAGGCCGAAACCCUAGCAGCAAGUAAGCCCCAGCACCGCAGCA
rnacentral:lncRNA from 1 species